rnacentral:rRNA from 1 species
CGGCGAGUGAAGCGGCAAAAGCUCAAAUUUGAAAUCUGGUACCUUUGGUGCCCGAGUUGUAAUUUGGAGAGUACCACUUUGGGACUGUACUUUGCCUAUGUUCCUUGGAACAGGACGUCAUGGAGGGUGAGAAUCCCGUGUGGCGAGGGUGUCAGUUCUUUGUAAAGGGUGCUCGAAGAGUCGAGUUGUUUGGGAAUGCAGCUCUAAGUGGGUGGUAAAUUCCAUCUAAAGCUAAAUACAGGCGAGAGACCGAUAGCGAACAAGUACAGUGAUGGAAAGAUGAAAAGAACUUUGAAAAGAGAGUGAAAAAGUACGUGAAAUUGUUGAAAGGGAAGGGCAUUUGAUCAGACAUGGUGUUUUGCGCCCCUUGCCUCUCGUGGGCUUGGGACUCUCGCAGCUCACUGGGCCAGCAUCGGUUUUGGCGGCCGGAAAAAACCUAGGGAAUGUGGCUCUGCGCCUCGGUGUAGAGUGUUAUAGCCCUGGGGAAUACGGCCAGCCGGGACCGAGGACUGCGAUACUUGUUAUCUAGGAUGCUGGCAUAAUGGUUAUAUGCCGCCCGUC